UACACACGUGCUACAAUGGACAAUACAAAGGGCAGCUAAACCGCGAGGUCAUGCAAAUCCCAUAAAGUUGUUCUCAGUUCGGAUUGUAGUCUGCAACUCGACUACAUGAAGCUGGAAUCGCUAGUAAUCGUAGAUCAGCAUGCUACGGUGAAUACGUUCCCGGGUCUUGUACACACCGCCCGUCACACCACGAGAGUCUGUAACACCCGAAGCCGGUGGAGUAACCAUUUAUGGAGCUAGCCGUCGAAGGUGGGACAAAUGAUUGGGGUGAAGUCGUAACAAGGUAGCCGUAUCGGAAGGUGCGGUUGGAUCACCUCC
rnacentral:rRNA from 1 species